GACGUAGGGCGCGAGCGUUUGUCCGGAUUUAUUGGGCGUAAAGAGCGUGUAGGCGGCCUGAAAGGUCAGCUGUGAAAACUCGAGGCUCAACCUCGAGACGUCGGUUGAAACCAUCUGGCUAGAGUCCGGAAGAGGAGUGUGGAAUUCCCGGUGUAGCGGUGAAAUGCGCAGAUAUCGGGAAGAACACCCGUGGCGAAGGCGACCACCUGGACUGAUACUGACACUGAGGUGCGAAAGCGUGGGGAGCAAACAGG
rnacentral:rRNA from 1 species